UACGGGGGGGGGCAAGCGUUUGUUCGGAUUUACUGGGCGUAAAGGGCGCGUAGGCGGCUUGUCAAGUCACUUGUGAAAUCUCUGGGCUUAACCCAGAACGGCCAAGUGAAAACUGACAUGCUAGAGUGCAGAAGGGGCAAUCGGAAUUCUUGGUGUAGCGGUGAAAUGCGUAGAUAUCAAGAGGAACACCUGAGGUGAAGACGGGGUUGCUGGGCUGACACUGACGCUGAGGCGCGAAAGCCAGGGGAGCAAACGGG
rnacentral:rRNA from 1 species